CACGUACCGUUAUGGGCUGCUGUAAGAAGAAAGACAGGAAGGUUCAGGGUGAAGCUAUGAAUUAUACAUGGCAAUGUAUUAAGCAGAAGAAAAUAGCUGAUGCAAAUACAGAAAAAGAAGAGGACUAAAGAGUACCACUUCUUUCCAGAGAGAGUGGUUCUUUACCUCAGGGUCACGGUCCUUCUCCCUACAGGCUCGGACCUCAUUGUACAGCUUGGAGGAAGAGAUGGGAGCCAGAAAGGAAGUGUACUCCCCGGGGAUGCUCACACCAUCAUCUGCACAGCAGGAGAGUCAAAUUAGUUCCAGAGGGAGGGAAAUGCAUACAGCUUUAUCCGCCGGUCGGCCUGCUUGGCUGCCCGCAGGGAAGCGUUCACCAGGGGUCCCCGUCCUGCUCCCAGCACCAUCAGUACCCUAAGAAAGAAAGGGAAGAGUCAAGCAGACUUGGCAUAUACAGAUAUAGGAGGUAAGAGAAGCCACACCCAUCCCAGGAUUCUCAUGGACUCACCCACUGCAAUCCUCUUACUAUAGUCACACAAAGUCCGGAAGUUGUGCCACCUGUUCAGUCAAAUACAGAAAAGUACAGUAAACUAGAUAUGGCCGACCAAUCACCACAGCUCAA
rnacentral:lncRNA from 1 species